rnacentral:misc_RNA from 1 species
AUAGGCUAGCAGAAACAGGAUAACGUACGCCGCAGGAGAAUGGAAGAGCUUGAAAGAAAAUCUUGUUUUCUUGCUCCCGUGAAUAUGAUGGAAAGACUCUUGCUCUUCUUUCAUGUCUGUGUGAGUAGUUUCUUGUUUAAAAGUUGAAAGGGAGAGGCUAAAGCUUAGUGGGGACGACAAUUAUGAAUUCUGUAUUGGGUUUCGUUGCUUCUUGU